GGGAGCCUUAAAAUCCUGGGCAGUGUGGGGCAGGAUCUGGGGCCCCCACAGGCUCCUGCGUGGCACACGCACGUGAGUGAGUGACAGAUCCAGUUUUCCCUCACAGCUGCUGCCUGGGAGCCCAGCCUGGCCCAGGAGCCCCAGCCCGGGUCCGACCCGGUCGGGGAGCUCUCGGGCGCCCUUCAGAGCCUGGACCUGGCAGAGGUAGGGCGGGGCUGCGGGGCAGGGGGUGGGCCGGGUUUGGGGCGGUGGCGGGAGGUGUCUGAUCCGACCUGUGGCCACAGGGCCGGGGGGACAGCCGGGACGUGGUGUGCGGCAUCUGCAGGGAGCGCGUGUGGGAGAAGCCGGCGGCCGAGCGCGCCUUCGGGAUCCUGCCCAACUGCAGCCACGCCCACUGCCUGCGCUGCCUGCGCACCUGGCGCCGGACGCCGCGCCUGCCGCUGGACGUCAUCAAGUCAGUGUCGCCUCUGGGUCCCCGCAGCUGCCCGGGCCGCGGGGUCCUGACCGUCCCCGCCCUUCCACCCCGCCCCUGCAGGGCCUGUCCCCAGUGUCGCGUCUACUCCAGCUACAUCAUCCCCUACAAGUUCUGGGUGAGCGAGGGGCCUGAGAAGGAGCAGCUCAUCCGGACCUUCACCGCCCGGACCCGCCAGAUCCAGUGCCGGUUCUUCAUGCGGGGGAAUGGCCGCUGCCCGUUCAGAUCCAACUGCAUCUACCUGCACCAGCUCCCGGAGCAGGCCCUGGCCUCUGGUCCUCCCUGGCCCGGGAGCCUGCAACUGGCUCCCAGCAGUGAGGUGCUGGUCCCAGUGUUGUUCCUGGGGGCCACCAGGCCAGAGGAGCAUGUGUCCUUCCCAGGCCCUGUCCUGGUCCCCUGGGACUCCGAGUUCCUGCUGGAUCAUGGCAGCUCCUAGUGUGGCUUCCUGCACGGGCAGGGGACAGGAUGCCGGGUGGCAGGCCUUCCCCUUGGGGUUCAGUGUUGGGGAAAGUAGCAGGUCCUCCACUCAUAGCUGGGGACAUGCGGGGGGGGGGUGUGUGUGACUCAGAACAAGGAAGAGUCUCACUGCUUGCCAGAGCCUUGGUUUUUAGCUUUGCUCUUUUGUAGAAGGAUUUUGAAAGAAAACCAAUAAAAUGCACCUAAUGCAUGCUGUGA
rnacentral:lncRNA from 1 species